ensembl:misc_RNA 7SK 7SK RNA
GGAUGUGAGGGCGACCUAGCUGCAAUAUCUGUCACCCCAUUGAUCGCCAGGGUUGAUACGGCUGACCUGGCUGGCUAAGCGCAUGUCGCCUUCCUCCCUCACCACUCCACAUGUGUCCCUCCUGAAGCUGUGCGCUUGGUCGAAGAGGAUGGCCAUCCCUGAAUAGAGACGGACCGGUCUUCGGUUGAGGGUAUACGAGUAGCUGGGCUCACCUGCUGGAACCUCCAAACAAGCCUCAAGAAGCCCCAGGUCAAAUAGGGGUCAGACAAGACUUGUCCCGGGAGUCGGGUGGUAGCGCAGUGGGUUAAGCGCAGGUGGCGCCAAGGAUCCC